GACGAACGCUGGCGGCGUGCUUAACACAUGCAAGUCGAACGAAGAGCGAUGGAAGCUUGCUUCUAUCAAUCUUAGUGGCGAACGGGUGAGUAACGCGUAAUCAACCUGCCCUUCAGAGGGGGACAACAGUUGGAAACGACUGCUAAUACCGCAUACGAUCUAAUCUCGGCAUCGAGGAUAGAUGAAAGGUGGCCUCUACAUGUAAGCUAUCACUGAAGGAGGGGAUUGCGUCUGAUUAGCUAGUUGGAGGGGUAACAGCCCACCAAGGCGAUGAUCAGUAGCCGGUCUGAGAGGAUGAACGGCCACAUUGGGACUGAGACACGGCCCAGACUCCUACGGGAGGCAGCAGUGGGGAAUCUUCCGCAAUAGACGAAAGUCUGACGGAGCAACGCCGCGUGAGUGAUGACGGCCUUCGGGUUGUAAAGCUCUGUUAAUCGGGACGAAAGGCCUUCUUGCGAAUAGUGAGAAGGAUUGACGGUACCGGAAGAGAAAGCCACGGCUAACUACGUG
rnacentral:rRNA from 1 species